rnacentral:lncRNA from 1 species
AUUUGUGAACACUGGUUUAUUUAUGAAAAAUUUACCACAGGUUACCACCACUAUAAAUAUGUAAAAAGAGAUUUCCACAGAUAAUUUUAUCUAAAUUUCAAAAUUACGUUGUAGAGUUGUGCUCAGAUAUCCUAAUUCACAUCAUUAUUUGUUUAAUCUCGCCUGGGCCUUCCUUUUAAGAGGUUUCUAUGUAGCAAAAUAAUUAGUACCACAGUAAGAACCACUUUGUCAUUUUGUAAAACUGCAAUAUCUGUACCAACAUAAAAGUUUCGAGUUAAGGAUUCAUGCAAAUCAUCUCAGCCAUCCAAUCCAAGGGCUCAUUCCCAAAUCAAGGGAAAAAGAAAAGUAAAGGAUGGUGAUGCCCUCCACUCCAUUCCUUAGGAAUUUUCCAUGAGGUCAUACCUAAUGCUAAGAUUCCUUGGGAAUCAGGCCAAUAUGGACACAACCCCAAGGAAUCUAGUACCUCCAUCCCUAUGACAUGAAUGCCAUGCAUAGGGAAACAAUCUCAUAGGAAGAAACCUAAAGGAAUCCUCCAAAGAAUCCUAUAAACCGAAUGAGCCCAAAUCUAACAGCUCAAAAACUAAGUUGAAUAGCUAAAAAUAUAUCUCAACUGCACAUUUAAUAUCAUAAUAACACCAUAUCAAUUAACAUUAACGAUCCCAUUUUUCAUUACAUGAUAAACUGCAAAUACUCAUGACGUCAUGCUUGCCGGUUUUCCUCCCCAUAUGAUGCAUUGUUGUGAAUGUUACUGUCAUCGUAUUUUUUUACUAUUAAUAUAAACAUAGCAAUAUUGUUACCUAGCUGCAAAAACAAAAUUCAGAGAGAGUUCUACACCUGGUUGCAUUACAUCAUUGAAAGCACAUUUUAUAUAUCGGCAAAACGUUCACUGAACAUGCAUGUGUAUUUUUUCCAGUAAUUUGUUAAGAUAUGAGUAUCCUUGCUAACUGUAGUAAAUUAUUUCUGCUUUUGGUUGUUAAAAAGAGGUUAACGUGUCCACCAACAGCAAGCUAAAGUUAUUGCUCUGGAUAGUUCUUGAUUUGUUUGAGGAGCAUCCAGCAGCAAAUUAUAUGGACUAGCGUUAGCUAGCUCUUUAGAUUGAUGUUGAAUGCCAUACUAGAGAAGUCUUAAUUUUAAUUCAGGGCAGCAUACACUUCUUACCAUACAGUGCAGAAUAGAGGAUUUAACAAGGCUAAAAGGUAAAAAGAACCUUUUUUAAGGAACGUUAAGCAUCCAAACACUGAUAAUACAUAGAUUUUGAUCUAUGUCAUUUAAACCAUUUGAGUAGAAUUAGCUUACAGAAGUUCACUGAACAAAAAUAUAAAUGUUAAGUAAAAACAUGGAGUGUUUCUAGGCAAUUGCAUGGUAUAGAUUGGCAGAAAGGAAAUUACUUUGGGGAUAAAGUAGCGAGCUUUCUGACGAGGACGGUUCCUCCGGUGGGAGCAACGACAGGGGCCAUGGCUUCGCCCCCUUUGAUCCACUGCGGGAAGGUGAGCUUGCCCUGGAAGAAGCUCUUCCAGAUGGCAUCGGUCAUCUCAGUGCUGUUGAUCUGCCCAACGGUGUACUUCUGCAUUGAAAUGAACAGAAGUCAAAAUGUAAACCCAUGAGAAGAAACAAUCACAGAUAAAGACCGCUCUACAUCUAACACUACAUGAUCCGGUCACGGUGCGCAAGACGAGACACACAGUGGGACGCGCUAGUGACUCAGAGCGAGGCAUUUCUUGCACGGGAUUUGGGUCUAGGAUUGGAUGAAUCGGCUAUGAGCUCGAGGGAUUGGAAGAACCAGGAGGGGGUAGGUAGGCGGGGGAGAGGGUUACCUUCCAGGAGAGGGAGAUGGAGUACUCGAACUUGUGGGCGGCGUAGCGGAACCACGUCGACAGCGAAACCAUCCUGCUGCUCGUCGCCCUCUGCAGUGCCCCGCUCGAGGACCUCGCCCUUCUUCCUCCUCCUCCCGCUGCCCUGAUCCCCUCUCUCCCGCUCGAUUGGGGCGGCGGCGGCUACCGUCGCUGCUCCCGGCAAGAAAUACUGGAGCGCGGAGGGGGUGAGGCUGCCUCGCGGACGGGGGCCGGAGGGGGGAGGAGGCGGCGGCGACGGCGAGAGAGAGAGAGGGGAUGCGACGAGGGUAGCUAGGGUUCUUCCUCCUCCUGAUUUGGACUCGACGAUGACUGGCAUCUGGUUGCGGGAUGGGCCUAAUUCGCAUUCCUCUUGGGCUGGGCUCGUUCGUCUUCUUUUUUCUGUCAGGCUGUGUGGGUUCGUAGUAAUCCCUGGUCAUGCCUAGAAAAAAGCAACACUUUCUCAAAAAAAUAAAAUCACUGGUGAGGGUGCCCCCUGCUGGGCUUGCAUCCCUCAUUAGGCGUGGAACUUUGAUACUCUCUCCGUCUCACUUUACAAGUCCGGUACAUAUAUAUCUAAGUCGUUAAUUUGAUCAACUUAAUAAAAGACAUGUAUAACAAAAAAUAUAUCAUCAAAAACUUUAGAUGUUAUAUUUUCUAAUGAUAUAAUUUAAAUGUUAAAUAAUAUAUUUUAUAGUAUAAGUUAAAUUGAUGAUCUAGAUACACGUGUAUGCCUUCUAAACUAUGACGAAGAAAGUAAGAAAAAUCAAUGAAAAUAAUGAAAAAAAGGAAGGAAAUACCAAUGAAAAAACUUAGAGAAAUAGAAAACAGAAGAAAAGAAGUGAAGACACCGCGAAAACCGGAGAAGAAACAAAGAACCAAAAGAAAAGAANNNNNNNNNNNNNNNNNNNNAAAACAGAAAAAAAUUCACAGCGGAUGGAUGCGUGCUCAACAAAUAGGCCGCCCCGGUACCAUAUGUACACAAGAAAGUCCUCACUGAGACGGAACAUAGCCUCUCUAUAAGCGAGAUAUAGAUCUUGCGAAGGUUCAAUGGCGACAACCCCUCAAAAAAAGUGUCAAUGACGACACUUGUAGGUUUACUUUUGGAUGAGUCUUAAUUGACACAUUAUGUGAAAUCAUCAAUUAAGAAGUACUCCUUUUAAAGAUCACUCACAUCUCUCAUGUUGCGGCAAAUAGGGCACUGCAUGCGUGCCACUUGUCAUAAUUUGAGAGUUUUUCCUUUAUUUGUAGAUUCGUAUUUUCAAAACAUUUUAUCUUCUAAACCUUGCGGCCAAAUCUUGAACCGUUUACACUAUUGGAUUUCUUGUGCCGAGAUCUUCAAAACUAGAUACCAUGUUGAUAGGUUUUGACAAACUUUUUUUCAUAAAAAAAGGACCAAAAAAAAUGCCUCUCGCGAUAGGAAAAAAGAACAGAAAAUGUAUUUUUUUCGUCUUUUUCCUUUCCGAGAGGCAUGACCGUGCCUUUCACGAAGGGAAAAUCGUGCCUCUCAUGGAAGCAAAAUCGCGCAUCUCGCGAAAAAAGAACACAUUUUUUCCUUUUCGGGUGCCUUUCAAAAAGACAAAAGCAUGCCUCCCGGGGAAGUAAAACUGUGCCUCUCGCGAGGAAAAAACAAAAAACACGUUUUCUUCCCGUUUCCGAGAGGCACGGCCAUGCCUCUCGCGAAAGCAAAAUCAUGCCUUUCGCAAAGGAAAAAAAAGGAAACAUGUUUUUUUAAAGACACGUCCGUGCCUCUCGAAAAAAGAAACGCGUUUUUUCACAGAAAAUAUUUAUUUAUUGUAAUUUUCUUCAUAAAAAGCUAAGAAAGACUGGUGAAAAACAUAAAAAAAAGACGAAAAUGCGUGUGAAAAAAACAAAAAUUCAAAGAAAGCCCUCAAAACGCGACACAUGACAACGAAUGAGAAUGCGCCAAGCGACAGCGUACGGAAUAGGUAACUGGUAGCACAUGUAGUACGUACUGGUAGUUUUCUGUCCGGUUUUACCGGUUUUGAAAACAUUCCAGAAGGUUUUGGUCUAGUCUAUUUCGUUGUUUGGUGUUUUUGUUUCUUUAUUGGAUUUUCGACUUUUAUGUUCUCUACUUUCUAUUAAAUAUAAAAAAAUGUUUGCAGCUUUUUAAAAAAUCAUAUUUUUUUAUAAAAAAUCUAAAUUUAAAGAAAUGUUCAAUAACCUUUGAAAUUUCCAAACAAGAUCAUGCUUUUAAAAAAUCAAGUUUUUUCUAAAAAUAUUGUAAUUUUCAAAAAAUGNNNNNNNNNNNNNNNNNNNNNNNNNNNNNNNNNNNNNNNNNNNNNNNNNNNNNNNNNNNNNNNAUUUGAUUUUGUAUUUUGUAUUUUUCAUGCUUUAAGAAAAGUAUUUUUGUGUCUUUUUAAACCGCCAAAGGAAAAAACAAAUGCUUGGUAUGGUACCGAUUUGCUACAGUAUGUUGGUGCGCUUCACUUUUCAGCGCUAGUGGACCAAUCUAUACUACUAAUAAAACAUCAAACGAAAACUUCUCUAAGUACACACAGCUAUUGCACCCACAAAAAACAAACACCAAUCACCACCACACAAUUAGUCAUCAAAUUGCAAUCUAACGGCCUUCCAUCAUCCAUGCACCACGACGGUGUCAAUUACCAAAUUAACCAAAGGUUGACCGUGCUCCACCUCCUCCUACAACGAACAAACAUAAAUAGAUCCAGCUGUUGCACCUCCCCGCAAAAAAAACCGAGCCAAUCAACUACUGAAAUUUAGCCAGAAUUAACGGCAGCCACCCGCCCUGUCCUGCACCAUCGCCGUCGCCUCCGCCUCCGCCUCCGCUACAACGCGCUCUCGGGGGCCCUCCCGUCUGACCUCGCGUCCCUUGUCGCGCUCCGCAGCGUCUUCCUCAACGGGAACCGACUCCCGGGGAACUUCCCGGCGCCGCUCCUCACGCAGCCCGGCCUCCUCCACCUCUCGUUCGGCGGGAACGGCCUUUCGGGCGCCAUCCCGCCGGCCCUCGCCAACCUCACCCGCCUCAGGACCCUGCUCCUCGAGGAGAACCGCUUCGCCGGGGAGAUUCCCGACCUCCCGCUGCCGCAGCUGCGCGAGUUCAACGUCUCCUUCAACCGCCUCAACGGAUCCAUCCCCGCCUCGCUCCGCUCCAGGCCACGCGCGGCGUUCCUCGGGAUGUCGGCCCUUGCCCUGGCGAGGCCCCUCCUCCUUCUCCGGCUCCCACGGGGACGACGCCCUCAUCGACAACACCGGCGACGAACGUCCCCAAUGGCGGAAACGACGAACAAACUGACAAGAAGGGGAACAAGCUCUCCGACGACGCCAUUGCCGGGAUCGUCAUAGCCUCCGUCGUGGGCGUCGUGCUUCUCCUGUUCCUCCUCAUCUGCCUCUGUCGCAGGUCGGGGCGCACCAAAACGCGGGCUCUGGAGAUGCCGACUCCGUCUCCGUCCCCCGCCGUCAUCCCCGGUGGCCGAAAACCUCCCGAGUUGCCCAGCGUCUCGGUCGUGGCUCAUAUGGCCCGGUGCUGGGAACAUGGUGAAUGUGAUUCUGCGUAAACUUCUGUUACUGAAGGUAAAACCUGGUCUACUCAGACUUAUCAGUAGGGUUAUGUUGUAAGCCUGUAACGUCAUUGUUUUGCUUUUAAAAUUAGGAGACAGAUUCUCUUCCUUUUCCAAAGAUAGAAGGUGAUGAUCGUGCCCAAGCUCGUGCUCUUUCCAUAAUUUAUUCUCAUCCUGUUGUAAGUUUGCUUUACUUCCUAAGCUUUAGUUCUCAUCAUGUUGUAAGUUUGCUUUACUUCGUAAACUUAGUUGACUUUUGUUUUAAAUUUUAAAAGCAUCAAAUUUUCGUUUGUACAAUCAGUAGAUUUACUGCUCUGUUGAUAACAUUCCACUUGAAGUUAUGUGGUAGUUUCCAUUAAUCAACUUUCUUGGGCAUCGGCUACAGUGGGCAUUCAUUUAUUACGUUCCAUUGUAGCACUCUGUAUACCUGAUCGCUGCUUAUGGUAAGGGGUAAAUGUUUUCCAGACAAAAUGAACUUAGAAGUAUGUCAUGGUCAUCUGAAGAUGUACACGCUAAAGGAUAUCAAACAAGGUACCAUCGACUUCCACCCAAAUAACAUCUUGGGGCAUGGAGGAUUUGGAGUAGUAUACAAGGGCAUUUUGCAUGGUGGCACCAUUGCUGCUGUGAAAAUGUUGAAGGAAUUUGCUUCUUCUGGUGAAGUUCAAUUCCAUACAGAAGUUGAAGUCAUGAGCUUGGUUGUUCAUCGCAACCUCAUUAAUCUAAUUGGGUUCUGCUCUGAAGAUAAUGAGAGAAUCCUUGUAUACCCUUACAUGCUAAAUGGAACUGUUGCUUCCCAGUUACAAGGUUAGUUUAUCAUGAUUUAUCUCCGAUGAUUUCAUUCAGUUUUAGUUCAAACUUAAACUAUAGCCACGACACUUAUUUUGGAUCGGAGGGAGUAGAAAAAAGAAGAAGGAUAAGUAGCUCUUUCAGCUCAUCUGCAGUUUUCAUUUUAGGUAUUUUUUGCAUCACUGAUAUUCCAAGAUGGCUUUGUCUUGCUAUCUUCAGAUCAUACUUUUUUGGGGGCGGUUUUGAUGUGUCAUUUUUUUCUUCUAAAAAGAAGAUGUCAGUUUAUCCUCCAGAUUUUGCAUCCCAUCUCAUAAGGAAAAAUCCUAAUCUCCUUGGCUCAUACUCGGAAGAAGUCAAUUUCAGAUACCAUAUCUGUCAACCGGUUUCUUGUUUCUAACUUCUGUCGUCAAUCUCAAUUGCAUCAGGUGGCCAAUGCGUUCAUGCCACUGAAUGGCUUGCCAAACUUAGUAAAAUCAUCGGAGAGGCCAGAGGCGGCGGCCAUGGCACUCCCGGAACUGUCCCUCUCAUCUCCAGCAAUCGACGCCCCCUACAUGGCCGCCCCGAGUGCCGACAGCAGCGCUGUCACGGACGCCAGAGCUCAAAGCCAGCAACAGACGGGGCAGCGGAAGGCCAGGCGAUGCUGGUCGCCGGAGCUGCACCGCCGGUUCGUCGCCGCGCUCCAGCACCUCGGGGGCCCGCAAGGUGGGUGUUGGGCAGUUCGUUAAUCACAUUUAUUGUUGGAAUGCUUUGAGCAAUAUAUGUUCUUCCUCCUUCGUGGUUGGUGUGCUGAAAUUUUGCUUUGCUGUUGAUGAAUGCAGUCGCCACUCCUAAGCAAAUCAGGGAGAUGAUGAAGGUGGAUGGGCUCAUGAAUGAUGAGGUCAAGAGCCACCUGCAGGUUUGUUCUUAUUACCUUCUGUUUGUUCAUUCAUCAAUCUAGCCUACAAUUUUCCAUGUUUCCAACCACAUGUGCAUCAGAACAUUUACCAGAAAUACACUUCUCUUCCUGCAGAAAAUACAGGCUGCACACGCGGCGAGCAUCCGACGGCGAUCAGCAGCAGUCAACAACACCCUUCACAAAGCUCAGGUAUCUUGGGAACUGGUGAAUCACAAAUCUCAGCUAUUAGAUUGACAGCUUAAAAGUUUUACAAAGGACCAUGAUGAGACAGCAAGUAUGAGGCAUACAAGUUCUCCAUCGAAGUCGUCUGAUAUGAACACGCGCUUGACAUAAAGCCUGAUAUUUUUAGUCUUCCUAUCAGUUAUGUCCUCUUUCUUUGUAGCAGGCACAUACAGAAUUGACCUGAAUUCUACUUCACCCUGUAUCAAAUUUGAUCAAGCACAGUUUACUUGAAUGUGAGUUGUGAAGAUCCUUAUCCAUCACAUUACCAAUUGAAUUACCAUUUUCACAUAAGAGUUUAUUAUUGCCUCCCGCAAGACUAUGUUACAAAAAUAGCAGUGCUACUAUAAUUUCAAAAAACAACUAUGUGGGUAGCUAAAUUUUCGUAGUUCCAUGAUACAAAAUUAGACUGAAUAUUAUUUAGGCAAAAGCAACUGCAGAUAUUAUGUGAUACACCAACCAUGAUGUGAUAACGGUGACGACUGUUGAAUCAAUAAAAAGCAACAGAAAGGGAACCAAUCGAAUGCAAAGAGAUGUACUCCCUCCGUUCCUAAAUAUAAGUCUUUUAAGACAUUUCACUAGGAGUCUACAUACGAAGCAAAAUAAGUGAAUCUAUACUCUAAAGUAUGUCUAUAUACAUUCGUAUGUAGUCCACUAAUGAAACCUCUUUAAAGACUUAUAUUUAGGAACAGAGGGAGUACCUGUGUAGUGAAGUGUGAGGAGGCCAAGGGAUCCAAAUACUCAUUGAAGGUCUUCUUGUAAAAUUCAUUGUACUCCUCAGUUGAUACCUCCUUAGGAGUCCGAAGCUGGCAACAACACAAAUAAUUUCAGGCUCUCUCGGAAGAAAAACUGGAAGUGAAAAAACAUACUUAUAAAUUAUCAACAAGACAAGCAGCACAAUAAACAGUCUCAAAGUUCUCACCCAAAUAGGUUGUGUUUCAUUCGUAAGUUCCCAGUCCCAAUACUUCUCCACAACGGUUUUUGUCUUCUUCUUAACCUGUUAACAUUGCAAUAUAGAAUCGUUGUCGCCCCCCAUCUCAAUACUUCCCAGUCCCAAUACUUCUCCACAACGGUUUCAGAUAUCUUACAUCUUUGUUGCCCCCCAUCUCCAUCGUUCUCGACACCCACUAUAAUGGAAUCAGUGAUCCUCAUGAGGCCCCAAGGUUCCCCCAUGCUGCUUCAAAAAACUCAAAAUUUUCCUGCUAUACUGACCGUUCUGGCCUUCGUAGGGGUCCCUCAUGUUAAUACAAUGCAUCUUUUUAGGUUUAUUUUCAUUAGGCUUAAGUUUCUAAUUUCUAGGGUAGCUCAUUACUUGUGUAUGCUAGAUAUUCAUUGUUUUCAUCCCAUAUUAACUGGUUGACAACCUAAUGAAUGAGGAAAUUCAUUCGAUUACACGUGCGUUGCACGUGCACUGUUACUAGUCCAGUAAAGAGCACGCCGGCUUUUGAGUUAGUCAUUGAGUACCCUACUUUGGGAUGUCACGAAUUAUUAAAUUUCUUGUGAUAUUGUCAUUGAGUUUUCGUGUCUCAACAUUCUCCUUUUGUAUGUGAGACUUGUCGGUCAUGUUCACCAGCUAAUCCCAGAGCUUCAUCGAAUUUGUACAGUUGUGAUCAAUUCUUUGUGCUAUAGCAAGUGUUCUUUUUGGGUCCUCAAUAAUGUUUCUGUAGGGAAAAUUGUAGGUAGCUGAGAUGGUCAGCUUUCUUGUGGUGCAACUAGUCCAUUAGGUUUUUAUGUUCAAGACUUAGCACUAGUGAUCGUAUUUUUCUAGAUCCAUUUCAGCCUUUUUAGCGAUUUUGGUUAAGUAGAAGGGACGUUCUCGUCGACUAUAAGAUGCGUCUGUGAUGACUUUGUCAAUCUUAAAAUGUUGUGCUGCCUCAGUAUCUUCAUAGGGAUACGUGUAUUUACAUGUAUGUGAGCAUCUACAUUUGUACUAUGUUCACAAUAUAUUUGUGUACGUAAUACGCGAGAGUGGGUGGGUCAUGCUAGUGAGUAUGGCAAUUGACCAAUCUUUCUUGUGUUUGGUUGACCAUGAGGGCAUUUAGACACUUGGGUUAUGAGAAUUUUGACAUUUUUGACGUCGAUGCAAGACACUACAUUUUCUUUUUUGACAAGUUAUGAAAUCUAACCAUUUUGGUUGUUUUCAUACUCUACAUAGUACAUGGUUUGGAUGAUUUUCAAAAGGAGAUUACGCUCGCAAGACCAUUAUCACAUUCAUAUCGUGCCAUGUCAUCAAAUCUCAUCAUUCUACUCCAUCCGUUCCUAAAUAUAAGUUUUCUUAGACAUUUAACUAGGUCGACGACGCGAACCCGGUUCCUCACCAAGAUGCGCGUCCCGGAAGGUAACAUCCCCCAGUGCUAGCCCGCCGAGCCCAGUCCUGGACAUGGCGCCUCUCAAACAGGUUGUUGCCACCGAGUCGACGACGAGGAUGCGGGCCGUACGUCGCCGUCGGGGUUGUAACUGAAACAAAUUCCACAACUAUUUAAAUUCUUAUUAUUUAAUAAAAUUUUACAAUUAUUUAAUAAACGAGGUUGUAACUGAUGUCAGGAUGACGCAACUAUAUAUAAUGAGAGGUCUUAAAAUUAUCGAGGGGUGCAUACAAUGGAAACACAAGCACUACACUUCCUCAAGGGUCACAAAAAACUUACUCAUUCUCUCUGUGCAUCAACAAUGAUCCGACAAAGCUCAUCAUCAACGGGCACAACUGGUGCCUCUUGAUCUUCAGCUUCCCCCGUUGCAGUAUCAUCGUAUUCAGGGAACAUAGGAUCCAGAUAGUUGUCAUCAUCCUCUUCUUCUUCACUGUCUUCCAUCAUAACCCCUCUUUCUCCAUGCUUGGUCCAAACAUUAUAGUGUGACAUGAAACCCUUCUCAAGCAGAGGCAAGUGAAGGGGUUUCGAGGAAGAGUAAUUCUUUAUAUUCCCACAAACAGUACAUGGAGAAUACAUAAACCAUUCUGUUUGUUUGGAUCAGCCACUUCGAGAAAGGUCGUCAAUGUAGUCGAAGGUGCGGCGGUCAAGGUAUAUCCAUUGACAGUUCAUGUACGUGCAUUACAUAAUUAAGUACAUAAAAAACCGCUACAGAACAUCAUGGAUAGAGAAGUGACCAAAUGAAUACAAGUUCAUCAUCAUAUUAAAACCAAAGUACAGUAGUGAUUAAAUAUUAUUACUGAAAAAAUAAAUAUAUAAAGUUCAUACAUAUAGUUCUCAUAAAACAACAUACAACUCUCUAACCAUCUAGUUAAAACAUACAUUGAAACUAAGGGGUUGUUUGGUUCCCAGCCUAAGGUUGCCACGCCUAACCUUAGUCAUGCCACAAUACCUUAGACAUGUGUUUGGUUCAUUGCCACACUUAUGGCUUGCCACACUUUUCUAGUUAUAUGGUCCACAUGUCAUACACUUAAUUUUUUGUCAAAUCUUGCCACACUUGUGGUGUCCAUUUUGUUAGCCACACUUUUUAUGGCAGCCACACUUUGCCUAAGGUUAGUUGUGGCAAAGUUAGUCAUGAACCAAACAGGCCCUAACAUACAACUAUGUAAAACAUUUAAAUUCAACAACAAAUGCGAUCAAAAUCAUGGUGGUGCCGUGACGAGAUCAUACAAGUCAGAUUUUUUCUUAAAAGAAGAUAAUUAAGAACAAGACGCUCAUCACGGUGGUGCCGGCGACGAGAUCGGCAUGGGCGAUCGAUGGGGAUGAGGACGACGGGCACGGGACAGGACGACACCCUAUACAUGUGUAAACAAAAAAAAUAAUUUGAGCUCAGAUUGUGCAUCUAAAUCAAAUAAACUCACACAUACACUCCUCCACUAAAAGCGACAAACCACACUACUUCUAGAGCAUUUGAAAUGAGCUAAACUAGUAGUGAGAGAUGAGGAUGAAGUUGCUAACUUUUUUAAAACAUUUGGAUAAUUGGUGCACCGUCAAACCUAGACAAAUUUUGGGGGAAAUGGAGUUUGGAGGUCGAGCUUGGAGAGGAGAGAAAGCUUAAGUGUGGCUCGGACAUUUCAUCGAACACCUCAUGUGCAUACAAGGUGAGAACGGAGUAGCACACACCUCCCACACGCUCGUCGGCCAAAAAACAAAGGAAUGAGCGAGCAGGGACGAGCAUAUAUAUAGGCAUUCUUUUUGUUUCGGUUAGAGGCUAGAACCAUGACUGAAGACUGACCUUUAGUCCCGGUUCCAGACACAAACCGGGACUAAAGGGGUUGCGCCAGGAGCCAGGUCCUUUAGUCCCGGUUCGUGGCUGAAACCGGGACAAAAGGUCCCAGACAAACCGUGACUAGUGACCGGUGAGGCUCGACCGGCGUCCUGAUCGCUCGAAUCGGGACUGAUGCAAACAUUAGUCCCAGUUCAAAAGUUGAUCGAGACUGUUGCUCUGUUGUGGCAAAAAUCAAAGUCAUGUUUUCUACCAGUGUUCAUAUAUUCAUAUAUAUGGCGAAUGUGAGGAACACUCAACAAAUGGCGGAAAACCCUCGGCAAAAACUUUGCCGAGCAUUGUACACUUCUUCGACAAAUAGGAACUUGUCCAGAGCCAAAACACGGAAUUUACCUGCGAGUCAGAAUAAAACUUCCCAACACACCAAAUAAUGAAGAAGGUCUCUAAUCAUUUAUAAUAUGAAUGGGAAUGAUAGUGGUCUACAAUAUACCUAAAAUAAUAAUGUCAAAGGAAUACUAUGUAGACACACACGCACGCACAUGUAGUCACAUAAUAAUUAGUUAAACUUCACUCAAGUAAGUAUAUGGUAAUUGAAGCUUCAUAUAUAAAGCAAGCACCUCCUAAACAUCCAAUCCAAUCAUAUGUAGGUUCUCAAUUACCGAAAAAGUCUUUCAUCCCGUUUUAUAUAUGAAGCAACCACCAUCAACGUAUCGGUACAAACACACGCCACCACAACACAUGCACACACCCAAGACAAGAUACAAAGGUGUUGAGCGCACCAACACCACACUUAGCACUAGAAGAGCAACGGGGGAACUCAACCGUGAACACGCCACGGCGAAGAGAUGAAGCCGCAUACGAUGAACUAUGGGCUCUAAGGCGACGCCUUCAGGAAGGUUACAACACCGGAGCGCCGCCACCGCCCGAUCCGAGGAUCAAAGUUUCCCCUCGAGCACCACAAUGGGCAAUUAGAGCUGCGACGACGCCUUCAAGAAGGGAAUGAGCUUCGCCGCCGCUGGUCCGUCCGAAGAUAGAACAUGUUUUCACCCCGGUCAAUACUCACUACCACUGAACGCCACGUCCUGGCUACCACGCCGUCCACACGACCAUGGUCACCGGGCAACACCGACCACGGGCUCGGCCCAUGAGCACCGCGCUACCACCCCCAGGGCGCCGCCUCGACAUCCAGGACCCUGACAUCACCACACCCGAGACACGCCGCUACCCCAACCAAAGAGACGAGGGAAAGGAGCCUGGACCCCUAGCGCUGAGACCCAAAGGUCGGCCAAAACUGGCCUCCAUUGACCUAACUUGCCGCACCGCUCGCGAGACGAGCUCGGUCCUAAAGCACCGUGUGAGAGAUGAGCUCGGUCCUAAUGCAUCGGGCGCAAGAGGAGCUCGGUCCUACAGCACCGGGCGCGAGAUGAGCUCAUUCCUGCUACUCCGGAUGCGAGACGAGGGAUGGACCGUAGCUGGGAGAGGUCCAGCACUUCGGUGCAUGUAGCACACACAUGACGAGAGGGUGAAGAUAGCAUCGAUAUGGUCCGCGUGCAGACGAGCCGAUGCCGGAGUAAGCCAACCGUCGCCACAGACAAAGUCACCGAGCCACCGUGUAGCCGCCACGCCACUGGGAUGGCAGCGUCCGAGCCGGACCUUCACGCGCCUCCGCCGCCCACAACCGGAGCACCAGCCAUGCUAGGCCGGUGCCCCACCCGCGCCACCAUGAUGUCAGGUCUGGCUGGAUCGCCGCGGCCGCUGUCCCUGACCCCCGGCUUGCUCCACCAUCAUACCCCUGCUGUCCCACCACCAGCCCAUGUCGCCCACGGCUCGUGUCGCUAGCCGCAGCCGUUCGCCAGAUAUGAACCGAGCUCAAGCCGCCGCCACGACCGCCGCCAGCAUGCCUCACCUCCAGGCAGCCCGCGGCACCAUUGAGACCACCAGACGCCGCCUCCUAAAGGAGCACCGUCGCGACCCACCAAAACGCGGCGCCCAGGCCCGUCGAAGCUGGUCCGCACCAGCCUCCACAUGCGAGGCGAGAAGUCCCGCCGGCGCCGGCGCCGGCCGAGCUUCGCUCGGAGCGCCUUGUGGCGGCGGGGCCUUNNNNNNNNNNNNNNNNNNNNNNNNNNNNNNNNNNNNNNNNNNNNNNNNGCAUCUCAUUAAUUUCCUACUCCAAUAAUGCAACACGGAAAGCCGACUAUUUCAUAAGUACAUGAGUUUGUCAAUGAUCUCGGUUUUUGACGAACAUGAUAUUGAUUUCAUGUUGGCUUUUUUUUUAAAAGGAGGCAUACCUUCGGCCUUUGCAUCAGUAAGAUGCAUACAACCCCUUUAUUAAUAAAAACAGUAAAACAGUCUGUUGUUUCAAAGGGGCUCACUGAAAGCCACAAAAUUAUCGAAAAUCAAAUCCAAAAGGAGCCACAACUGGCGAAAAUAGGACUAGAUGCCUAACCACCUAUCUAAUCACUGAACCGUCAUCCAAACUGGUUUUAGAUACCCCGAGUUACCAUCUCCCAUUGGAAAGAUCAAGUAACCAAAUGCUCCCUGGUUUCCGCAAGAGUGAGUAAUGAUCAUGUAUGGAUCAACGAAGUUGCCCUGUAAAUGACCUGCAAAAAGUUAACACGUGUUUGUCUGUUAAAAACCAUGUCAUUCUCGCAAUUCUAUAUAGCCCACAGUAAAGCACAUACUCCUAUACGAAUAUGCCUCGUGUUAUUUGGCUCAACUACAUUUAGCCACGUCUCAAACAACGUGUCAAUACUAUUUAGAGGUAUGAUAUUAAAGGCUAUAUGAACGGAUCCCCAUAGAAGUUUUGCUAAUGGACAUUAGAGAAAGAGGUGUAAUAGUCUCAUCAUGGUCACAUAAGCUACAUCGUUUACUACCCUCCUAAAUACGCUUAGCCAAAUUAACCUUAGUAAGAAUCACCUUCUUGUGCAUAAAUCACAUGAAGACUUUGAUUCUUAAGGAUACUUUGACUUUCCAAAUAUGAAUUGAUUUGAUGGUCCAGCUUCAAUAAGGUUUAAAUACACCAAUUUCACUGAAAAUACGCCAUUCAUAGUUAGCUUCCAAUGAAAUCUAUCGGCCUCAUCUGAUAGGCGAGCUUCCAUGAGCCUUCUAACUAGGUGUAGCCAUGCUUCCCAGCGAUGACCAACCAAAGCUCGUCGGAACUGUAUAUUUACAUGAUUAGACUGUAAUACUGUGACAACAUAUGCGUCCUUACGUUGCACAAUAUUAUUAGGAGAAGGAUAUUGUGUUGCUAGUGACGUCUCCCCAACCACAUAUCCUUCCAAAAUCUCGUCGACCCAUCAUUUCCAAUGAUAAAUCUGGCUCUAUGAAAAAAAACUGCUUUAACUUAAUUUCAUCAGACCUUUUCAAAAAGGUGAAUCAUUGGGUCUGACAGUGACAUGAGCCAAGGUCUUAGACUUUAGGUACUUAUUCCGCAAGAGCUUAGCUCAGGUCACCGCGAGACCGGGUGAUUCACCUUUUUGGAAGGGUCUCAUGAGGUCAAAGACUGCUUUCUUUAACAUGACUAGAUUUAUCAUAGGUAAUGGUGAAUCAACUAGAUUCUGGAAGGAUACUUGGCUAGGAGACAAGCCCUUGGCUCUUCAGUAUCCGCAACUUUACAAUAUUGCUCAACGCAGACAGAUGUCCGUUGCGGCAGUGUUACGUGAGAUUUCUCUAAAUAUUCAGUUCCGUAGAGCUUUGAUUGGUAAUAGAUGGGUUAGAUGGCUGCAUCUAGUCAGAAGGCUGGUGGAUAUUAGCCUCUCCGACUACCCUGAUAGUAUUCAUUGGAGGUUGACCAUCAAUGGUACAUUCUCAGUGAAAUCAAUGUAUGAGCACCUUAUUGAUUCUUCACCUAUUCCAAAAUCCAUGCAUGUAUGGAGGGUCAAAGUUCCCCUUAAGAUAAAAAUCUUCAUGUGGUUUGUUCACAAAGGAGUUGUUUUAACUAAAGAUAACUUGGCCAAGCGAAAUUGGAAAGGAAAUCGAAGAUGCAGCUUUUGUCAGACUUAUGAAAAUAUUAAGCACCUCUUUCUGGAUUGUCCUAUGGCGCUCGAUCCAUAUUACUUUUAACAUUGCUCCGCCUACUAGCAUUAACAUGUUAUUUGGGACGUGGCUGGACGGGGUUAAUGUUAUUUACGCUAAACUUAUUCGAGUUGGAACCUGUGCUCUUCUGUGGGCUACAUGGAACUGCAGAAAUGAUCUAGUUUUUAACAGACAACAUUAUAUUAACUUUUUGCAGGUCAUCUUCAGGGCUACCGCCUUGAUCCGCAUGUGGUCCUUACUCACUCAUGUGGAAACCAGGGAGCCUUUGGUUACUGUGUGUGUCCGAUGGAAGAUGGUAGCUCAGGGUAUCUUCAACCGAUAUGGAUGGCGGCAUACUGAUAGGAUAGGUGGAUAGUCAUCUAGGCCUAUUGAUAGCAUCGGUGCUGGUGUUAUGGUCGCCUUGUAACUCUUUUUUCCUUUUUUGGGACUACAUUGUACUUGUUUCAGACUGGUUUCAUGUUUAAUAAAAGGUUGCAUGCAUCACUCGAUGCAGAGGCCGGGGCGAUGCCUCCUUUUCUAAAUAAAACUUAUUCCGCAAAAUUUGUACCCACAUGUCUUCGGUCUCUAGAGAUAGUGUGAACAACCAUUUACUGAGCAGACAUCUGUUCUUCACCUCUAAAUUCUCUAUCCCCAGACCUCCCUGACCUUUAGGCCUACAGAUAAUAUCCCAUCUAGUAAGUCUGUAUUUCCUCUUUACUUCAUCGCUCUGUCAGAAAAAACGAGAUCGAUAAAAGUCCAACCUUUUAGGUACCCCUACAGGUAUCUUAAAAAAGGCGAGAAGGAACAUCGACAUACGUACUCAUGAGAACUGAAUUAUUCAGUAUUAACCGUCCUUCAUAAGACAAAACCUUGCCCUUUCAGCAGCUUAGUUUAUGACUAACAUGUUCCGUUAUCUUUGAUAACCCAGAGACAUCAUGCUUCGUGUGGAAAACAAAAAUGUCAGCGUCAACUCUUGUUUGAGAAGUCAUUACUUUGCCCUUUUUAUCCUAUUGAACAGACUUAGUAAAGGUUUGUUGGCGAUGCUCUUGUCAUCAUAACUUUAAAAGACUACAGACCAGCUCAUAGAUUUAUCAUUUCCAGCAAAUGCAUGCGACCUGCCAACUUCCAUUUCAUCAGUUGCCUACUCCAACAAGCCAACCUUGAGCAAUAAUUCUAAAGGACAGGUACACGUCCGCCAAUCUUCUAGUCAAUUUUAAAGAAGUAUAAUCAUCAUUGGAGGUGUUUGUUUUAGAGAGCGGCAACCGUAAAUGGUAAGUGGAAUCAAAUCACCCUGUGAUCAUGGAUGUAACAGAUAAUUCUAUGUUUUGUUUGGUUGAUGGCCGUAGAGAAAUCGAGUGCCUAGUUUGCUUUGGCCGGCGGCGGCAGUAAAUGAAAGAGAGCAGACCUUGGGGGUGUGGUGGGGUCGUCUCUCGUGGGCGCCAUCGAACGCCGACGGACGCCCCCACCGGACCUACAACAAGGCUAGCUUCCUCCGGCGGCCGCUCACGAAUCUGGGACUGCGAGGCACCUCCGGCCGCUCCGCCAUCGUCAGUUACAUCGCCGACUGCUGCACCGGCCUCGCGGCCAGCCACUUCUCUCGGUCCGCCUGCGCACAUCGGAUGCUCGGGGGGGGGGGGGGCCAGAAGCGGCACAUGGUCCUUGCCAUUGCCGCCUAAACAUGAACGAUGAUGGACGCAGUGUUGAAGCCAUGGUUGGUCCGGUAACACGACUUGUUUACCUGAGGGGUUGGGCGGAAUAUUAUUUGAAUUGGGCUGUAAACAGUUACGAUGGUAUGGGUUACCGGACCGAGCUAACCAAACACAUGUAACGAAAUCAGAUUACGUGUUGUAAUCGGAUGACGGGUAAAAUUUGUCGAACCAAACACAUCCAUUGUGUAAAUACAGUGAAGCACGCGAGAUAGCUAGGAAGAUGAACGUGAUUUGUGAAGAAACUGCAACACCAGUGAGGUCGUCGUCGUCGGAUCAUGUGUCCCAACUAGGAAAAAGACAUUGGGAGUAUAAAAUGGCCAAGUCUUGUGGUCUGGUCACACAAGCAAACUAGCUAACAGCAACUAAUUUGUACUACCAAAGUUGACAUUUAUACAUGUAUAAAACCCAAUGGUCGAUAUGCAAUGCAAGGAGCUCACAUCUAUCAAGAUCAUGGACAUCCCAUAUCCACCCCGGCCGCCACAAGCAAAUCAAAUGGCUACGCCCAACAUAGACUCGAUUUCAGAUUCAAAACUUUACGAGCUCAAGGAGCAGCUUCUGCUGCUGACCACCCUGGUGGCGACGGUGACGUACGUCACCGGGCUCAACCUGCCCGGUGGAGCCUGGCAGACGCAGCACAAGGACGGGAAUGGGCCUCUCGCCGGCGAUCCGAUCCUCCGGGACAUCCAUUACCGCCGAUACCUCGCCUUCUACUACUGCAACGGCACGGCGCUCGCCUCGUCCGUCGUGGUCUGCCUCAUCCUCGUCAUGCUGCGCAGGGACAGCCCGGCCUGGUCGGUGGUGCUGCGGGUGGUCAUGGUGCUCGACCUUCUUGGCCUCAUGGGUUCCUACGCAGCCGGGACCUGCCAUGACACCUUCGCCACCAUCUGGGCCGUGGCGCUCGCUUGCCCCGUCUUGGCCUACAUCACGUACGCUUUCGUCUGCUACCUCUGUUUGCCCCUCCGCCGCGACAACCACACCCCGAGAAACACAAACAGAGGGUACCAAGAGAAGGAGAAGAUCGAGGUGCUGAUGCUGCUGGCGACCUUCGCAGUCACCAUCUCCUACGCCGCCGGGCUGAACCCGCCCGGCGGCUUCUGGACCAGCACCAUGCAGCAGAAGGAUGGCCGCCUUCUUCACCUCGCCGGCGACCCCAUCAUGGAAGAUAGUGCGCUCCGGAGGUACCGGGCAUUCUUCGUCUGCAACACGACGGCGUUCGUCGCCUCCUUGCUCAUCAUCCUGCUGCUCCUGGACAAGAACUUGAGCAGGACAAUCUCGGCGCGGUUCGUGGCGGUCUACGGCUUCAUCGCGGUGGCGCUCCUGGGCCUCAUGGGGGCCUAUGCUGCUGGGAGCUGCAGGGAGACUGACAAUACCAUCAAGGUGCUCUCCCUGGCCGCUGCGGUUCCUCUCUGCGUAGUCCUGCAGCUGGCUCUCAACUAUGUCUUCUAUUGGCCAAUCAAGAACAUGUGUGAUAGUUUCUCCGAAUGGUUGCAGAGAUUGAGUCCCGGAGGUAUGCUUGCUCUACAUCUUAACUUGUUGCUUUCUCUUCUUUUGCUGAACGCCUAAUCUCUCGUGUCAAAAUGGAAUCCUCCCUUGGAAAUUGCAACUCCCAGUUUUCCUAUUUCUUUGCUGCAAAUCCUAAUAACUACUGUAUUACGGUAUAGUAGAAAUUUGAAAAUCUCAUGGAGAAAAAUAUCAACAUUUACAGUAUAAAAUAAACACCAUACAUGCUCCAUGAAAAAUAUUUUCACACUGUAUUUAUUUGACGUUGUAGUUACUGAUUUUUUCCCCUUUCUGUAAAUUAAAUAAAAAGGUACAAAGUUUGACUUGGAGGAAUCUAUAUCUAUAUGCAGCAUCUUUUAGAUGGAGGGAUUUGCAAGUCACAAGCAAUAGAAAAGCAUUAAUCCAAACAUUAUGAUUUGUGCAACAGGUGUAGACAAGAUGUUGAUACCUUGAUUGGAUGGUUUAGUGAGAAAUAGCAAACCAUAAUCACUCUCUGACUUUUAGAUAAAUAUAGUUUGUUAAAUCUAAGUCACUUGUGGUUAUCUUAUGUAUCAGUUGGUGCGAUGUCAGGAUCAUGCGGGCAUGGAGACAAUGUUAAUUAGAUUAGAAAAAAUCAUUAUUCUAUUCACUUAGGCUGGUCGCGAUGAAAAAAUAGUAUACUAUUACUAUCAUACAUAUGAUAUUAGUGUAUAAUACUAUCUUGACGAUGCAUAGUAUCAUUGCUUGCAAUUCUCAAAGUGUAUUUUCUAAACUUGUGUGUACUGCACAUUUACAUUUGUAUAGGAGUAUAUGCUAGUGCCGAGAAAAAAAAACAAUUCUCAAAGUGUAUAUAUUUUGUAAACUUGUGUGUACUGCACAUUUACAUUUAUAUAGAAAAAAACACGAUUCUUAAAGUGUAUUUCCUAAACUUGUGUGUACUGCACAUUUAUCUGAAUUAUUCGGAGCAUCCAAGAUGCAUUGACAUCCAUAUGCUAGGAACUAUAACUCUGUAUUGCUCCCCAAAAAAACAUGGACUUCAAACUUCACAGAUCAACAAAACUUUAGAACCAAAACAUGUCAAAAAAAUUCCAAGUUUUCUUAUGAACCAUAAAUACUUCAAAUAAUAUAGCUUAACCGAAAAUUAUUGUGUUAUAUGCUUAGAGCAUCUAUAGCCGGAACUUGCAAAUCCGGCUCCUCAAAAGCCCAAGGACACGACCGGGCGUGUCCGUUUUGUAUCCCUACUUUUUCGCCCGUGCAGCUGCAUCUCUCAUAUUUUUUUUCAUAUGUCCAGUCACUUGCAUGUGAUCGGUGGAGAGGGGGGGGGGGGGGGGAAAAAAAUGAAUAAAGGAAAAGAAAAGGUACGCGUCCGCGAGCCCUCAUAUCGUCCUUAUAUUUGAGAUGGAUAUGAGAGGUGCCGGUCAGUCUGAUUCGACCCUGUGUAAGACCAGAAAACUUUGGUUUAUUUUUCACACAUUGUAACUCUAAUGUUAUUGUUGACUAGAGAAGUUUGAAGUCCAUAAGUUUUCUUACUUGGGAGAUACUUUUUAGGAAAUUUCGUAGAUAUGGGGGUCUAGUACACCCAGCUGGUUUAACCACAUCUUUUGCUUAAUCAACUACGCAUAAUUCGGAAUAGUAGGUUAACAUGAUAGUACUACUACUUGAUUGAAUGAUUGGAUGAUUGGCCCAUUCAUCAUAUAUGCAUAUGCAGGUGCCGGCGCACUCGCGGAUCCAGACCUGAAAAACACUCGAUUUUUCGUGAUGGUACUCGCGAGCUUCGCGGUGAGCAUCACGUACCAAGCCGGACUGGAUCCACCAGGCGGCCUCUGGAAAGAUGAGCUGAACGGGCAUAAGAUCGGCCACCCGGUGCUCCGGACGACACAUCCUGCUCGGUACCAGGUCUUCUUCUACAGCAACUCGGCGGCAUUCGUGACGUCUCUGGUGGUGGUGAUGAUGGUCCAGAGCAAGUUCCUGCUCAAGCGCCGCACGUUGGUGGCCGCCAUGGUGCUGGACUUGAUCGGCCUCGUCAUCGCCUAUGCCGCCGGCAGCAGCAGGGAUGCGAGCACGUCCAUCUAUGUCGUCGCCGUGGCUUGCCUUGUCCUCUCCUACGUCGUCGUCCACAUCGCCUUAGGAGGAGAGAAGGAGAACGUCGCUGCUGCUGAACCUGCUCCUCCUCCUGCUGCCGGUACGGACGGUACGGUAGCUCCUGAUCCUGCUGCUACUCCGGCGGCUACGUCUGCCAGUCCUCCUCCUGCUACUCCUACCGCUGCUGCUUCUCCGGUAGUAGUCGUAGUAUUAGGAGGAGAAGGAGGAGGGCGAAGCAAGGAGCAGCUGGAUGACAAGCGUCAGGUGCUGCUGCUAAUCGCCAUCCUGGCCGCGGCGCUAACCUACCAAGCCGGGCUGACGCCGCCGGGCGGCUUCUGGCAAGCGGACGACGGCGAUCUCGGCCACCGCGCGGGCUACCCGGUCCUCCUCGACAACUACCCGCGCCGCUACAAGGCCUUCUUCUACUGCAACGCGGCGAGCUUCAUGGCGUCGGUGGCUCUCAUCCUGCUGCUGGUGAACCGCAAGCUAUACAGGCCGGGGAUACGGUGCUACGCGCUGCACGUGUGCAUGGCGGUGGGCAUGUUCGCGCUCAUGGGCGCCUACGCCGCCGGCAGCUCCCGCCAUCUCAAGACCUCCAUCUACGUGCUGACGCUGGCGAUCGUGGUCUCGGCGUCCAUACCCCUGCAGGUAGCCAUCUUCUGGUACAUCCGCAACUACAGGAGAAGCCACCAACGUGACGAAGCAGCAGGCAGGAUAAGACGGCGGCGGACACGCGGGCUCGACGGCGCCGACCAGGAGAAGGACGAGGAGCUGGAGUACCUGAUGCUGCUAGGGGUCCUGGUGGCGAGCGUGACAUACCAGAGCGGCCUGAGACCGCCGGGCGGGCUGUGGGAAGAGGGUGGCGCCGCCGGCAACCCCAUCAUGCACGACAUCAACAAGCGGCGGCACGACAUCUUCCUCUACAGCAACUCCACCUCGUUCAUGGCGUCCGUGGUCGCCAUCGUCAUGCUGCUCCCGUUCACGCUGAGCAACGUGGAGUGGCUGCGGCGUUUCCUGCCGUCCCAGACGAGCAACCGCAGGUGGCCGCUGUGGCCGGUGCACACGGCCAUCUUGCUGGACAUGCUCGGCCUCCUGGUGGCCUACGCGGCAGGGAGUACCAGGAAGUGGGAGUCGUCCAGGAACGUCAUAGUCAUCCUCCUCCCCGUGCUAGCCUACAUUGCGCUCUACGCCGCAAUAGUGGCCAUAUACAUCUGUAACAAAAGCCGCACAUCCUCCCAGUUGACCACCGACAACACAAGCUGACCAACAAUCUUCCUCCGUCCUACACUACUCAUCAUAAUAUAAGAGCACUUGUCCUGGUCCAUCGCGUAGAUAUGGAGGGUAGUUUCUUCUCUUCUCACCUGUUGGUUUCGUCCGGUAAUGAAAUCGGAGGCACGAAUCCUCUUUUCCUUAAAAAAUCAAAAUUGAGAUUAGCUAGAACUCAUCUAGCUGAGACAUAACUAUGAUCUCAUUCACUGACAUCAGCCAACAUCAUGUAUUGUUGUUGUAGAUUGUUUUCAGUUUGUCUAUGGGCUUGCGCCUUUUUUAUUUCUAUGAACUGGUUGUUGAUUGGAUAUUUGUAGUUUGUAUGUAUAUGGAUGAUUGCUGGAUUGGUCGGUACUUCUUUCCGUGGCGUCUAUUUUUGUUCCUGUGUUGAGGCAGAUUUUUAUUAGUUUUUUUUUGAGAGAGAAAAUAUGUUUUCAUUAGUUAUGUGCUACGCACAAAUAAAAUAAAACAACUGUUUAGAUGGGGUUUUCAUCACGUGACUUUGGGCUGAAAAAAGAAAACACACUGAAAAGGAAAAAUCAACCCUACUGGACAGUGAGCAGUAACUAUACUUUAGCAAAAUUUAGCCAAUAUUUUUUUUUAAAUGAGAACGGUUGUGAAACAUGCAAUUGAGACAUCAUUUCAAAAUUUGUAGUUGCGAGCCCAUUUACAACUUGGUGACCCCAACUUGAAAAAAUUUAGUGACCCACUUAAAACUUGCAGUUGCACCCCAAAACUUUGAAAAUUUUCUAUUGUGACCCUAGUUGAAAAUUUGUAUUGAAUACUUGCAUUUGCGACCCUACUGUGAAUACUUGCAGUUGCCACCCGACUUUGCAUACUUGUAAUUGUGACCCGACUAUGGAAUACCUAUAGUUGCGACCCGACUUUGAAUACUUGCAAUUGCGGUCCAACUUUAAAUACUUGCAGUUGCGACCUUACUUUGAAUACUUGCAAUUGCGACCCGACUAUGAAAUACCUAUAGUUGCGACCCGACUUUGAAUGCUUGCAAUUGCGACCCAACUUUAAAUACUUGCAGUUGCGACCUUACUUUGAAUACUUGCAGUUGCGACCCGACUUUAAAUACUUGCAAUUGCGACUUGACCUUGAAUACUUGCAGUUGCGACUCGACCUUGAAUACUUGCAGUUGCGACUCGACUUUGAAUACUUGCAGUUGCGACUCGACUUCGAAUACUUGCAGUUGCGACCCGACUUUGAAUAAUUAUCGUUGCGGCCACAUUUAAAAACAUACAGUUGCGACCCGACUUUGUAUAUUGAUGACAUUGAUAUAAGAAGGUAAAAAAAGACACCAACAAAUUAAAUAAAAAUAUGCAAUUGCGACCCUCACUAGCAUUUCUACCGAAGGAAAGGCUUUCGUUUCACCGACACAAAAGGAAAAAAUCACUGCAUAAAAUUAAAUAAAAACUAGGAACAAUAAAAAUAAAANAAAAUAAAAUAAAUUUAUUUAAAAGCUGAAACUAGAGAACAAAAAAUAUAAAAAAUAAGACAAUAGUAAAAAAAACGCUGAGAAAAAAACAAAGUACAAAUGACCAACAUGGACGGAUACACAUAGACGCGGCAGCAUCGGUACCCUGAAGAAAACUACCUACUAGACAACAUCGCUACUUAUCUUUCCUCGAUCUUUGACAGGAAGACGUGAUAGCCGCAACUGGCCAACACCACGGAAACAAAAAAAAAAAGAAGGCAAAACGGGCCGAGGGCAACCUUGCUUGGACACCGCAUGAAUCACUACUUGUUUUUUGAUCCAAUGAUCAGUUUUAGCAAAUACGUAAAAAAUUUACUCCCUUCUUUCAUAAAUACACUAGUAGAAAACAGGACAUCAGUCCCGGCUCUAGGGGGGCUUUAGUUCCAGUUCGGCAACCGGGACAAAACGGUCGGGACUAAUGCCGAUCACUUUUAGUCCCUAUUGGCUUACGAUGCGGGAUCAAAAGGAGCUCCACGUGGUCACUGUGGGGCGUUCAGGCAGGAGGACCUUUAGUCCCGGUUGAUAACACCGACCGGAACUAAAAGGCGCGUCAGCAGCUCGCAGGCACUAGGGUUUUUGUUUUUUUAAAGGGGGUGUUUGGAGGGUUUUAGGGGUUUCAUAUUGUGUUAGCUAGCUAUUACAUAUAGAGAGAAGUGGCAUCUCUUUCUCCGUGCUUGGUCGACGGUAGCUACUACAUAUAGAGAGAACUCGACGCUAGCUAGUAAGCAAAUGAAGGAACCAAUAAUGACACAACAUCGUGAUCAUGAACAUAUAUAAAGAGAAGUGACCUCUCUUUCUUCGUGCUUGAUCGAACAACUCGACGUUACUACAUAUAGUACACGAUCAUGCAUAUAUACAAUAUAUAACAUAUGUUGCGAUCCCUAACUAGCUAAUAUCUAUCCACCAAAAUUGGUAAGGAAAUCUUGAUGAUAUUCUCCGUCUGAUGGUAUGACAUGCUCAACAAAGAAUCCCGCCAAUUUCUCUUGAAUUGCUCAUAUACGAUCAGUUGGUAGGAGUUUUUCCCUCUUCUGCUUGAUCUAAUUUAAAGAAGUUGGUAGGACAGCCGUUUGGGGCACCUAGGUGCCAGACACCUUGCCUAGAUGCCAUCGGAUCACAUGUCACUAUUGGAUUUUAGAUGGCAGAUUCAUUAUUGGGUUUGACCCGUUAAGAAACUAGUUUAGAUUUUCCAUAUAUAUCUUUAUCGGUCAUAAGAAAUAUUCCACAAUUUCGUUGCAUCUUCAUACCCACAUACGUCAAUGAGGUACAUUCCAAAAAUAUAGUAUGCAUGCAUACUUUCGUUGGAAAGUAGGGUACCGACGUAUGCUAGUUACCUGACAAUUUUGUUGCGUGGAGGUUCUGCUAUGGAAAGUCUAAUUAAUGGGUUAACCAAUUAGCAUUGAUUUGGAAAAGAUAAUUGAUACUAUCAUUUAUUUGGUAUCCUAAACAGAUGGAGGGUCAUGCAUGCAUGUUAAUUGGAGAGAGAAUCAAGAUUUAAUGUCAAGAUUUUUAGGCGUAAAUGUACUACUUAGGUAUAUUUUUUCCUCACACUCGUGUUGACAUUUUUAUUAGUACGUGGUAGAUGGAGGAUAGAUGGACGACCGUAUAUAUCAGUUCGUAUAGUAAAGUGUGAGUCUAUAGAUGGACGGCCGAGUAUGUAUGUUCACGAGAAGUUAAAAUACAAAGGUUUUUUACAACAUUAGGUAUAUUUUUAAAAUUUAAUAAAUGGGUAUGUAUGGUGAGCAGAAGUUAAAAUAGGAAUUUAGUAACCGGAUUUAUGUAUAUUAUUCUUCGGUACAAAAUAGCAAUUGUGUAUAUUCCAUUAGGUAUAAAAUACACUUGGAAUGUUUUAUAUUCCUGUUACAUAUAAUAACUCGAGUAUGUGUAUAAUUUUAUUAGGUAUAUUACCAACAUCUAUCAGUAGGUAUAAUACCCCCAACUAUUAUCACACGAAUGUGCUAAGUAUAUAGUUGUAAUACGUACAUAUUUCCAUUAGAUAAAUGGGUAUGUAUGGUGAGUAGAAGUGUUAAAAUAGGAAGGUAGUAACAGAGUUUGCGUAUAUUAUCAUUAGGUAUGAUAAUCCUGGUGCGUGUACAAGACUCGUUGGACAGUUUUCAUAGGUAUUUAGACUUUUGAAUAAAUUAUUUGGAAGAUAGUAUCCGAGUACAAAUGUUGAGACUACUUUUAAAGAGACAAUAGUAUAAUUGUAUAAUGGAAAAAUUUGUUAUGACGGAAUCAGUAGCAUGCAUUGUUUUUGGAAACUAAUUUCCAAUCAAUGGGCGUGGAGGGUACUAAUGCAUGCACGUAGAAAUGGAAAGAAAACUGUUUGGAAAGUACUACUAAGUAUUUGCAAGCGACAAAAACCUUAAUGGGUUGGAUCCGAAUAAGGUGCCCAGGCACCUAGGUGUCCCAAAUAUAUAUAUAUAUAUNNNNNNNNNNNNNNNNNNNNNNNNNNNNNNNNNNNNNNNNNNNNNNNNNNNNNNNNNNNNNNNNNNNNNNNNNNNNNNNNNNNNNNUUAUAGUUGUUUGAUGUUUUGUAAACAUUCUUAUUCUUAGAUGUUCAUUCUUAUUUUUUGCACAGGUGAAGUGUGAAUCCAAGUCUAAAGCUGUGAAGCAUAUCAAUAAAGAGUAGCAUAUUAUGUGUUGUAAUUGUAGGCACUAGUAGGUUUACUUGGGUUGUAGUAUACUGUAACGAUUGUAAUAGAUAAUGUAGUGUUAUUUUGGACGAAUUUCAUUUGCUCUCUGGAUUGUUCGAAAUAAUGAUUGUGUAUGUGAUUUGAAUACGCGUGAAAGGGAAACCUGACAAGAGUGUCCAAGUUAUAAUGGUUGUUUGACAAAUUUUGAAAUCUCUCAUGUGUGGGACCAAUUUUAAGAUAAACAUGAUAACUGGGACCAAUCUGAUUGGUGGGACCAGCUGCAAAAUAAAAUGAUUGAAAAUAGAAAAACAAUAGAUUGUAAAAGGCUGCAUCCUAGAAAAUAAAAGGCUGACUUGCUGGGCCAGGCCCAUGUAGCUAGCGAAAAUCAAUGGAAAAAUAUACUAAAAGGGUUGAAUAGUUGGGCGCGGCCCAUGUAAAGCACCAAAUUGGACCGGCUUGAUUCUUGUCAACGACCAAUCCAAUUGAUCGUAACUUUGCCACGUCAGCUUGCCACGUUUGAUUCGACGUGGCCUGGGUAGACAACCAGCGACCAAAAAAAUUGGUCAUAGAACCAACGACUUUUUUGUUUUGGUCGUUGCAUCUACCAUCAUUUCACAAAGAAGGUUGUUAAGUUUCAUUAGAGAUGGUCAACUUUUGAUCAACUGUUUUUGGUCACAAAAAGGUCACAAUGAAAAACAACGGCCAUUCAGUGACCAAUAUUGUUGCAGUGGUUGAGACCGAUUUCAAAUUCAGAAAUUCCGAUUCUUGAAAUCUUCUCAACAUAAAGUUGGUCACUGAAUCUCGGUGGCACCGAUGGAAAAGUUGGUGGUACCGAGAUGGUAGGGUUUGGCAUAGGAUCUGUCAAGUGUAAAAUCGGUAGGGCCGAAUGGAAAUCGUUGGUGGCACCUAUUUUGCUGAUAUGGCUUUGGACACAGAAAUUUUGUGGGAGAAUGGUUGAGUAUUUUUGAUGGCUACCUCUAAGAGCAACUCUAGCAGACCCCGCAAAAGAGGCAAACCCGCAAAAGUCCGGCGAGUAUGCGGGUUAGGCCCAUUUUUUCGUCCAGAACAGAGCCUGCAUACUCGCCCGGCCCGGAAAAUGUUUUGCCGCGGCACGCGAAACACACGCCCCGACCACUAUAUCUACGGGUCCGCGGCGCAUUUGCGGGUCGAAAACCUAUCCCCCCGCCGCCGAGCCCCCACGGUUCCCCACCCCUUGCCCACAUUUCUCGCCGUCGGCGACCACCUUCCCCACCUCCAGCCGCAAUGUGGAGCUCCGGACGCGGCUCCGGCAGCAGAUCCGGCGGCCGAAGCGAGCCGGAGCGCGAGCGGCACGUCCGGUCGGACGACGCGAGGAAGCGUGGGGCCCGGAGGUGGACCAACCGCGGCAUGUCGCCGCCGGCGAGCUUCCGCGUCCGGGAUACGAAGGAGUACGACCGUCGGCAGGUCGCAACGGGCUCGUCCUCGGCCACGGGCUCCUCCUCUUCCCCGCGCCUUCUCCCUGUGAAGAGGCAGUGGUCGGAGGAGCCGGAGGACGUCGUCACCGUCAAGGAGGAGCUCGAGGAGCUCGGCUGCCGCGGAGUCGUCGGGCCGGAGGACUUCGUUGCCGACAUGGAAGCGGUUGCGGCAGCCAUUGCCGAGCGCAGCUUGCACGAGGAGGCGGAGCGUGGACGCCAUGAUGAGGAGAUCGAAGACCUCCAGUGGCGGCAGGUGGUCGAGGCCAACAUCGCCGCCAAGGCGAAGGACGACGAGUGGCGGCGCAUCCGCGAGGAGCAGAAGGCGAUGUACAUCGACCUCGGCAGCUCGGACGAGGAGUACUGAGCUCGCACUGAUGUAGUAUGUAGUAUGUAAUCUAUGUAGUAUGUAGUAUGAACUUCAUGCGAAACUAUAUUUUCAAAUUAUGCAAUUUCAUUUACAGCUUCUGUUCGGCCGCGCUCAUUUUCGACCCGUAAACGAGCUCUAAGUGAAACCGCAAAUGCGUUUUGCGGGUCCAGAUUUUGCGGGGUCUGCUAGAGUUGCUCUAAGCACUUGAGCAACCAAUUCAUCAUAACACCUCAUCCUAAUAGUUAUUGUCUUUUCUAUAGAUUCAAAGUGAUUUCUCAUAAAUGUAAAAUGUAGAGUCUUCUUGUUUGAAGCAUGAGCCUAUCCUAUUCCUUUCUUGCACCAAGGCGUAUUUCCUCACAAUCCUAUAGUCAAGACAUCUUUAACUUUUCUGAAAUGUACUUGAAUAAACUCAUUAGUCUAAUGAUGCAUAUGUUGUGAUUAAUCAUCAAAAUCACAUUAGGGAGCAAUUGUGCUUUCAAUCUCCCCUUUUUGGUAAUUGAUGACGACAUAUGGAUCAAAGCUUCGACAAAAAAUAUAAUCAAUCAUUAGCAUCGACGCUUUGAGAAGCAUGUGAAAAGCAAGAGCUCCCCCUAAAUUUGUGCACUAUUUUUAAUUUGUGCUUGAAUGCAAAUGCAUAAUCAAUUAGGAUUAUGGGUUACUCUUUCAUGUCACAUACAACUUGAUGAUGCGCAUAAAAGAUAUGAAUAAAUAAUAAUGCACAUAACACCAAACAAAAAAGUGAAUGAUCAUCAUAUAGAUAGCUCAAAGGUAAUAACAUGAUAGCAUCAAACAACCAUAGCGUAUGAUCAAACACACCUCUAAUCGGAUAAAGCUCUUCCCCUCGAAGACCUAUUUCACUUCUCCUACUUUGACAACAAGUUACCAAAAAGUUCAAAUGUGUGAUUUAUAGCUGCGGUAAGCGGACGAGGCACUGCCUUUCUUUCACACUACCGGGACCAUGCCGCCGCUCUAAAAAAAAUGACAAGUUGGGCUAAACGACGGGGAACGAUUGGGAGACGACGAGAGGGAACCUUCGGAGGUGGCUCUGCGACGACGUGAGCAGCUGCCUCCCCCCACACCGGUCCAAAUCUAGUGCAGUCACAGGUAGCCAAAACUAUCCUGAAAAAGAGAAGAUUAUGAUAUCUCAUAGGUUCAUCUGGACAGUGCUACUCAUCCGUGACACACGCCAUCUCCGGAUAACUAGCUAUUUUCAGCUCAGGUGGCUGCAUCAUUAUGCCAUUAGUGCUAGCUAGCGCAUGAUUAUUCCAGCAGAGUCAACCAUAAAUUAAGCCCUAGUGUGUACACUCAAUACAUAAAACAAGAUCAAGGACCAAGCUGGUGUAUAUAUAUCCAGUGAACGUUGUUUCGUUCGUUCGCAGUUAUGACAUUUCGUUUAUUUUCCCAACCAGCGAGUUAGAAGUUUGCUAGGAAGACGUGGUAGCUCAUUGGGCAGAUAUAUAGGACAUGUAUAUUGGUAUUGUAUUUUCGUUUUCCUAGUAUGCACCUUUAGUAUAAUACUUCCUCCGUCCCAAAAUAAGUGUCUUAAGCUUAGUACAACUUUGUACUAGCUCUAGUAUAAAGUUGAGACAGUUAUUUUGAGACGGAGGGAGUACUAUAAUUAAUCCUUGUAAUCAAAAUGAAAACGGUGCUACUGCAUUUCGUAGAAAAAAAGAUUGGCUCAAAUCUGAUCAAAUCACGCCAAAUUUUAUGAACUUGUGCCAAAACACGACUAAUAGAUGCUGUUAGCCGGGCCGCACUGCUCCCGCGUCAUGUCUCUGAUAUACUAUUGGCUUGAAAAUCCUACCAUGCUGAAUCGGAAGGCAUCUAAAUAUGUAAAAACAGAACUCUUGGAUAGCUAGAAAUGUUCUGUGUUGACUUCCUUGUUCUUGCUUCGCGGAUUCUUUCUCUGUGUAUGGUCAACGCUCAAAGUUCUUGGUCAAAAUAGAAGAAGUUCUCCAUUAUAUAUAUUCUUCGCCUUGCUCCUACUCCUUUGAGUUAAGGAAGCAAAACAUGUCUCCCUAACUCAAUAUUCUUUGACCAACAAAUGCAAAAUAUCACAGGGAUAACCAUUUUUAGCAGCCGUAGGUUUCACAGACUGCUAGAAAACUCGCACAUCUAGUCCUAUUAUAUCGGGAUCCACCCUUAGAUAGUGUUAUAUAAACAAGCUUUAAUUAAGCUAUAUCCAAUGACAUUAGGCACAUGAUUAGAUAAUACUACUCAACCUUCAUUUAACGUCCUUUGUUAAAGAAAUGUAAUGGAAUGUCUUGGUUUUGAUGCCAAGAUCUAUAUCUAGAUUAACAUAUGGUUUCUCUUCUUCUUUUCUUUAAAUAGGAUGACACAUAGGUUUUCUUACCAAUGAAACCAUGGUAAGAUAUAAGCAUUAGAAGUGCCCUAAUACUAAUUAUCAGGAUUUGUAACAGUGUCAGUUAUCACCAUGGUGUCCGUGAUAAUAUAUGCAUAGUGAUGACUAAUAUUGCUAACAUGCAAUUGCUUUUCCAUAUAUAUAUAUAUGGAAAAGCAAUUGCAUGUUAGCAAUAUUAGUCAUCACUAUGCAUAUAUUAUCACGGACACCAUGGUGAUAACUGACACUGUUACAAAUCCUGAUAAUUAGUAUUAGGGCACUUCUAAUGCUUAUAUCUUACCAUGGUUUCAUUGGUAAGAAAACCUAUGUGUCAUCCUAUUUAAAGAAAAGAAGAAGAGAAACCAUAUGUUAAUCUAGAUAUAGAUCUUGGCAUCAAAACCAAGACAUUCCAUUACAUUUCUUUAACAAAGGACGUUAAAUGAAGGUUGAGUAGUAUUAUCUAAUCAUGUGCCUAAUGUCAUUGGAUAUAGCUUAAUUAAAGCUUGUUUAUAUAACACUAUCUAAGGGUGGAUCCCGAUAUAAUAGGACUAGAUGUGCGAGUUUUCUAGCAGUCUGUGAAACCUACGGCUGCUAAAAAUGGUUAUCCCUGUGAUAUUUUGCAUUUGUUGGUCAAAGAAUAUUGAGUUAGGGAGACAUGUUUUGCUUCCUUAACUCAAAGGAGUAGGAGCAAGGCGAAGAAUAUAUAUAAUGGAGAACUUCUUCUAUUUUGACCAAGAACUUUGAGCGUUGACCAUACACAGAGAAAGAAUCCGCGAAGCAAGAACAAGGAAGUCAACACAGAACAUUUCUAGCUAUCCAAGAGUUCUGUUUUUACAUAUUUAGAUGCCUUCCGAUUCAGCAUGGUAGGAUUUUCAAGCCAAUAGUAUAUCAGAGACAUGACGCGGGAGCAGUGCGGCCCGGCUAACAGCAUCUAUUAGUCGUGUUUUGGCACAAGUUCAUAAAAUUUGGCGUGAUUUGAUCAGAUUUGAGCCAAUCUUUUUUUCUACGAAAUGCAGUAGCACCGUUUUCAUUUUGAUUACAAGGAUUAAUUAUAGUACUCCCUCCGUCUCAAAAUAACUGUCUCAACUUUAUACUAGAGCUAGUACAAAGUUGUACUAAGCUUAAGACACUUAUUUUGGGACGGAGGAAGUAUUAUACUAAAGGUGCAUACUAGGAAAACGAAAAUACAAUACCAAUAUACAUGUCCUAUAUAUCUGCCCAAUGAGCUACCACGUCUUCCUAGCAAACUUCUAACUCGCUGGUUGGGAAAAUAAACGAAAUGUCAUAACUGCGAACGAACGAAACAACGUUCACUGGAUAUAUAUACACCAGCUUGGUCCUUGAUCUUGUUUUAUGUAUUGAGUGUACACACUAGGGCUUAAUUUAUGGUUGACUCUGCUGGAAUAAUCAUGCGCUAGCUAGCACUAAUGGCAUAAUGAUGCAGCCACCUGAGCUGAAAAUAGCUAGUUAUCCGGAGAUGGCGUGUGUCACGGAUGAGUAGCACUGUCCAGAUGAACCUAUGAGAUAUCAUAAUCUUCUCUUUUUCAGGAUAGUUUUGGCUACCUGUGACUGCACUAGAUUUGGACCGGUGUGGGGGGAGGCAGCUGCUCACGUCGUCGCAGAGCCACCUCCGAAGGUUCCCUCUCGUCGUCUCCCAAUCGUUCCCCGUCGUUUAGCCCAACUUGUCAUUUUUUUUAGAGCGGCGGCAUGGUCCCGGUAGUGUGAAAGAAAGGCAGUGCCUCGUCCGCUUACCGCAGCUAUAAAUCACACAUUUGAACUUUUUGGUAACUUGUUGUCAAAGUAGGAGAAGUGAAAUAGGUCUUCGAGGGGAAGAGCUUUAUCCGAUUAGAGGUGUGUUUG